rnacentral:rRNA from 1 species
GCUCUUCAACGAGGAAUCCCUAGUAAGCACAAGUCAUUAGCUUGUGCUGAUUACGUCCCUGCCCUUUGUACACACCGCCCGUCGCUACUACCGAUUGAAUGGCUUAGUGAGGCCUUCGGAUUGAGAUUCGGAGUUUGGCAACAGACCCUGGGUUUUGAAAAGUUGGUCAAACUUGGUCAUUUAGAGGAAGUAAAAGUCGUAACAAGGUUUCCGUAGGUGAACCUGCGGAAGGAUCAUUACCAAUUUUAGCGAACCAAACCUUGAGUUAUGGUCUCGCGAAAAACUGUAUUUAAAACCCCACUCUUUAUAAAAUGAAUCUAUUAAUAUAAUGAUAAAUAAAUCAGAUCACUUUCAACAACGGAUCUCUUGGCUCUCGCAUCGAUGAAGAACGUAGCGAAAUGCGAUAAGUAAUGUGAAUUGCAGAAUUCCGUGAAUCAUCGAAUCUUUGAACGCAAAUUGCGCUCUCUGGCAUUCCGGAGAGUAUGCCUGUUUGAGGGUCAGUAUAAAUAAAUCGGUAUGUUGCUUUUUUUUGUAACGUUCCGGAGUUUGGGUUAUCUUAGCUUUUUAAGGUUUCAGAAACUUAAAAUUAAUCUUUUUUGCGCAUUUUUAGACGUACAUAAAAUUUUUUUUAUUCGUCUAUUUUAAUGUCAAAAUUUUAUUAGAUACAAUCAUAUCAUGUGGUUUCCGCAUCUAUGUUUUUCAUAAUUUGACCUCAAAUCAGUAGGAGUACCCGCUGAACUUAAGCAUAUCAAUAAGCGGAGGAAAAGAAAAUACAUGAUUCCUUAGUAACUGCGAGUGAAGAAGGAGAAGCUCAAAUUUUAAAUCUUGUUAGGUUUACCUAAACCGAGUUGUAAUUUGAAGAAGCGUUUUCUGCGUAGUUGGGUCCAGCCUAAGGCCUUAAUGGAUGAGGGCAAUCUAUGGAGGGGUGUGAUAUAUUCCGUCGAUUGAUCAUGCUUAACGAUACGCUUCCAAGAGUCAGGUGUUGGCAUUGCAACUAAUUGGGAAGUAAUUUCCUUAAGCUAUAACGGCGAGGACCGAUGCAACAGAUCCGUGGAGAAAG